rnacentral:rRNA from 1 species
GACGAACGCUGGCGGCGUGCCUAAUACAUGCAAGUUGAGCGCUGAAGGUUGGUACUUGUACCAACUGGAUGAGCAGCGAACGGGUGAGUAACGCGUGGGGAAUCUGCCUUUGAGCGGGGGACAACAUUUGGAAACGAAUGCUAAUACCGCAUAAAAACUUUAAACACAAGUUUUAAGUUUGAAAGAUGCAAUUGCAUCACUCAAAGAUGAUCCCGCGUUGUAUUAGCUAGUUGGUGAGGUAAAGGCUCACCAAGGCGAUGAUACAUAGCCGACCUGAGAGGGUGAUCGGCCACAUUGGGACUGAGACACGGCCCAAACUCCUACGGGAGGCAGCAGUAGGGAAUCUUCGGCAAUGGACGAAAGUCUGACCGAGCAACGCCGCGUGAGUGAAGAAGGUUUUCGGAUCGUAAAACUCUGUUGGUAGAGAAGAACGUUGGUGAGAGUGGAAAGCUCAUCAAGUGACGGUAACUACCGAGAAAGGGACGGCUAACUACGUG